rnacentral:rRNA from 1 species
UGGGCAACCUGCCCCAGACACAGGGAUAACCCCCGGGGAAACCGGGGCUAAUACCGGAUACUCCGGUCGAGCCGCAUGACUCGAUCGGGAAAGCUCCGACGGUCUGUGAUGGGCCCGCGGCCUAUCAGCUAGUUGGUGAGGUAACGGCUCACCAAGGCAACGAUCCGUAGCUGGUCUGAGAGGAUGAUCAGCCACACGUGGGACUGAGACACCGGCCCAGACCUCCGUACGGGAG